rnacentral:rRNA from 1 species
CACUAUGCUUAGCCCUAAACCAAAAUAGCUCACCAUAACAAAGCUAUUCGCCAGAGUACUACUAGCAACAGCCUAAAACUCAAAGGACUUGGCGGUGCUUUACAUCCCUCUAGAGGAGCCUGUUCCGUAAUCGAUAAACCCCGAUAAACCCCACCAUCCCUUGCUAAUUCAGCCUAUAUACCGCCAUCUUCAGCAAACCCUAAACAAGGUACCAAAGUAAGCACAAUCAUCCAACAUAAAAACGUUAGGUCAAGGUGUAGCCCAUGGGAUGGAGAGAAAUGGGCUACAUUUUCUACUCUAAGAACAAGAACUCAACCCAAACGGAAGUCUCCAUGAAAUUAGAGACCGAAGGAGGAUUUAGUAGUAAAUUAAGAAUAGAGAGCUUAAUUGAAUCAGGCCAUGAAGCGCGC